CUAAUACCGGAUGUGAUGCAGGGCUCUUCGGAGUGCUGCAGGAAAGACUCCGACAAGGGUCACUGAAGGACGAGCCUGCGGCCCAUCAGCUAGUUGGCGAGGUAAUGGCUCACCAAGGCGAAGACGGGUAGCUGGUCUGAGAGGAUGAUCAGUCACACUGGAACUGAGACACGGUCCAGACUCCUACGGGAGGCAGCAGUGGGGAAUAUUGCGCAAUGGGCGAAAGCCUGACGCAGCCACGCCGCGUGAGCGAUGAAGGCCUUCGGGUCGUAAAGCUCUGUGGGGGGAGAAGAAAAAAAGCCGGUGAAGAGCCGGCCCUGACGGUAUCCCCUUAGCAAGCACCGGCUAACUCCGUG
rnacentral:rRNA from 1 species